rnacentral:rRNA from 1 species
CGAACGCUGGCGGCGUGCUUAACACAUGCAAGUCGAACGCGAACGUCUUCUUCGGAAGAUUAGUAGAGUGGCGCACGGGUGAGUAACGCGUAAGUAAUCUACCCUCGCAUCUGGGAUAACCCACCGAAAGGUGUGCUAAUACCUGAUACGUCUAAUUUAAUAUCUUUUUUUUAGAGAAAGGUGGCCUCUGAUUCAAGCUACUGUGCGGGGAGGAGCUUGCGUACCAUUAGCUAGUUGGUAGGGUAACGGCCUACCAAGGCAACGAUGGUUAGCGGGUCUGAGAGGAUGAUCCGCCACACUGGAACUGAAACACGGACCAGACUCCUACGGGAGGCAGCAGUGAGGAAUAUUGCGCAAUGGGGGCAACCCUGACGCAGCGACGCCGCGUGGAUGAUGAAGGCCUUCGGGUUGUAAAAUCCUGUCAGAUGGGAAGAAGUGGUAUAUGCUUAAUACGUAUAUGCUUUGACGGUACCAUCAAAGGAAGCACCGGCUAACUCC